CACCUCUGAGCAUGGCUGCAUUGGUGAUCAAGCCUUCAGUUAAAGACUCUUUGGGAGACAUUUCUUAUUAAACCACAAUAUGAAAUUUAAAUGUAGAAUCAUGCCACAAAAGCACCACAUCUGGAUUUUGACUGGGACCACAUUAAAAACUUUCUGGCAGGGUGGGUGCACUACCUCCUGGACUGUCCGCCACCAGAUCCAGUAAGGACCCAAGGACCCCAGAGGAGGUCUCUCCAGCUGCCUGCCCGGGACCACCCGGCGGGUGCACGACUUCCUGGACUGAGCACCACCAGAUCCAGUAAGGAAGGGGAUUGAGCUUGACACUGGAGGUUACCUUAUCUUCACAGUGCCCACAGUUUUGGAAAGUUGGGGCUUAGGGCUGCUACCCUUGGGCAAGCAAUGUCUGCUCUCCACUGAGCUUCGCUGCCUGGCCCCAGACAACAGGAAGGAAAUAGAGAAACAGGAGACGUACUGCCCGAUGAGUCUACAGUGGAUCCCAGGAGGAAGGGAGCCUCAAGAACUGGACUGAACUGAUGUUUAGUGCUUUACCUCCUCCACCUGGUAUUAGGAUGGUUCCAAGAUGCAUCUAUAAUUUGUGACCAAAAAUAAUAUUUUUGCUGUCACUAUCUGAUCACACAAUGAAGAUAAAUUUAUCAAAUUAGAAAAAUGUUGCACAAGGGGGCAAAAUUGAGUCAUGGUUUUUUUCCUAAAGUGGAUCCAACUGAAGCCAGACUGUGGCUUGUCAGUCUCGAGCAUUCCUGUGGGUGGAUUCCAGGAGGACAGACACCUGCCAACACCAGCCCCUAACACAGGGUUCCACCUCCAGGAUAGCUCUUCCCAGUGAAGCAUCAGAGGAGACAAACUGCACAGCCCAACAGUGGAGACAACCCAUGGCCUAUCACCCAGUGAAUAGACAAAUAAAAUGUGGCAACAGCUAUACAAUGGGACAAAGUACUGGCACCAACUGCAGUAAUGAGGAGCCUUGCAAACAUUGAAGAAGCCAUUUAUGGACAAAUUCUGUACCACUGAUUUAUAUGAGCAGGCACAUCCACAGAGACUGAAAGUAGAAUGGUGGCUUCCAGAGGCUGGGACAGGGGUAAUGGGCAAUUGCUGCUCAUGGU